UAUGACCCUGUGAUUAAUUGAGCGGCUGACCAAUCAUUACCUCCUCCUCCCUGCUCUUUCUACCCAAUAAAUACAAAGGGCUGUGGAAGCUCAAUGGGCUGCCUUUGCUCAUUAGAAGCAGGGAGCUCUCUUCUUCUUCCCCUGGAUCCUUCCUUUAAAAUAGUUUCUUUUGUCUUAAGUUUUCAUUUCUACGUUUGUCCCUUCAUUCAGUCUCUUAAAUGACGGUCUCAAGCAGUAACAGUAGUAAUUGCUGUAAUGACGGUCUCAAGUAGUAACCAGGGCACUCUGCCACAAGUGGCACCUGAACAGGGACUAACAGGGACUAUCAAGAACAAACGGAGACCUGAAGAGACCUGAAGGGAACUGAAGAGGUCUGCAGGGACAAAUAGAGAUAAGUAGGGAUAAAUAGAGAUAAAUAGAGACAAAUAGAGAUAGGUAAGGAAUGACAGGGACUUGCAGGAAGUAACAGGGACCAUAGGGACAGAUAGGGAUAGAUAAAGACUAGCAAAGACUAGCCGAGAUUAGCAAAGACCAGCAAGGACUAGCAGAGACUAGCAAAGACUAGCAGAAACUUGCAGGGACAGGCAGAGACAGAUAGGGACAGAUAGGGUCCUACAGGGACUUGAACGAGGAAGAUCUGCUGGAAAAGAAAAGAACUACAACCAACCAGAUGAACAAGAAACCCUGUUACAAGUCUGCUGGCAGCAACAUAAGUAAAUGAUAGCUCCUUACAAAUACAGAGGACAAAAUAAAAGUGACUUAAUUAUAAAAACACAGUGACACAAAGUGAACCGGGUUCUAUAAAUUACCAUGGAAAGUGGUGAGCCAACGAUUUGGCAGAACAAAACCCUGAGGAUAUGCAAACAAAAGGGACUAUGGAAUUUGCAAUUGCAGAUUAAAAUUGAAGAAGAAAACAUUUGAGUUGCAAAUACCGUAUUAAAAGUGGACACUGCUUAUGACUGCUGUAUGCAACAGUUUUUCAGGCCCGAGAGGAACCCAGACAUGCUCUAUUUGCAAACCGACUGCAUGAAACAAAAAGCACGGUAAUUCUGAAGCUGUUGGCUUGGAUGAAAUGAGAAUGUAAUUAAAAAGAAAAAGGUUAGCAAAAGAACAUGCUGGGAAUUGAAAAUAAAAAUCUGAAAUGAUGUCCCAGCCUGCCCUUAAGGUCUUUUCCACCAUGUAGAGAGCUACCUCAAAUGCUCUACUUGUCCCAGAGUCUAUGUUCUUUCACUACUAUUGCCUAUAUCUGUGUUUUCUGCUUUCAAUAAUCUAUUGAAAUAAUCAAAAUUAAUUACAUUCAGCAUUUUUUCUGUAUUACUCUGAUUCUAAUAAUUACCUCAAAUUUAUUUGUGCAUUUCUAUACUAGAAAGAAAAAAUAAUUUUUAGAGUUUUACUAUAUCUUCCCCUUAAUUCUAAGUUGCUUGUCACUAAUUCCUUUCCCAACACUAUGUUAUUUCCACCAAGAACAUUACCAAUAUCUUCAGGAAAAUUCCACCCCAUAUUUUAAGCCAGAUUGAUUAUUGGGAAUAUAAAUACAUUUAAGAAGGAAAGUCUUUUUGACUGUGUUUCUCCACAGACCAAUAGUAUACAAAACACAGAAGGCUUUUAAGCACAUUUCAUAGGGAUCACUGACUUAGAACAGAAGGAACCAUUUCGUGAAACACUCUCAUUUUGCACAUAAAGGAGCUGUGGCCCACAGAGGAAUAUGAUUUACUGAGAGUGACCCAGUUAGUGGCCAUAAACCAAAAGCCCCAAGAUGCUAAAUGUUUGUUAUGAAGAGUAAAAAUCCUCCCAGUUUAUAAGAAGUAACUUCAUCCUUCCAUUUUCUAUUUCCACGAUGACUCCCCUGGCUUAAAUUUUAAUCUCUAUUUUGGAUGACUCCAAAAUCUCAUUCUUCUAAAUUAAUUAUCUAAUACCACAAUGUUGCACUUAUCUUCCUACAAAUCUACUUUCAUCUGCCUUGACAAAGCCAACCCUAAUUUUCUCUAGUCCUCAUUAGAAAUUAUUGCAACAAAAAUUCACAUCCAGUCUGAAGUUUGGGAGCCAGAAAAGAAUUUUCCCAUUAAGAUGAGACAGUAUCAAUUAUUAAGCAGAGGAAGACACAAGAGGGAAAGCAGCUUUCACAUGAAAAAAAAAGAACUCUGAUUUUCUGACACAUUUUGUCAUUGCAGUCAAACUUUCAGAGUUAGAACUAGAGACCUAGAUAUUAGCUAACCCAGCAUUUUCCAAGUAUUCCUCGGAACUCUAGAGGCACAGCAUAGUACUGGUAAUGAUUUUGUGGCAGGAUAGAUUAAGGAAACCUCACAGUUAUACCAAGUUAAAUUCAUUUAUUUCAUGUAAAAUUCUGAUAGCCUUUUAUGCUACUAGGCCUAGUGAUACUCCAAAAUUAUUGGCCAUAUAUCUGAAAUUUAUUUCAGCAAGAAACCCUUUAAAGAGCAUCCCGCAGAGUUAGUGUUUUGAGGGAUAUCAUUGGGGAAAAUGCUGAUCUAGACCAAUUCAACAAAUUGUAACUUAGUUAACACCAGAGUCAAAACAAAAACCAAGUCUACUCAUGUCUGUCUUAGGCCCUUUUGGUCACAAAAACACGUUCAAACCACUUCAAUUAAGAAAAUGGUGAGAGGGGAAAAGACAAGCAGGGAACCUUAUCCCAGGUGGGCUGAUCACAGGACUUCCAAGGCUGUCCCUUAGAAGAGUCACGAUAAUGGCAUCUCUAGCACAAAACUCAAAUUUAGUUUUAAUUCUUAGUCGAAUAAUAAUACAGUAAAAUUUAUUGCAUGCAUAAGGAUAAUACAUUAAAACUACUUAAAUUACAUUUUAGGGCCGGGCGCGGUGGCUCACGCCUGUAAUCCCAGCACUUUGGGAGGCCGAGGCGGGUGGAUCACGAGGUCAGGA
rnacentral:lncRNA from 1 species